UGUAUGCUGCGAUGAUCCAGGGACCAUGUAUGUUGGUUCAUAUGAGUAAUUGAUAACUCUAAAUCCCCCUGUGAAUGUGACCAUACGUGUUGUGCUGUUUCCCACCAAACCAUGUCUGUGUAUUACAGGCUCAGUUCCUGUACAUAAAUUGUAAUGUUGGGGAAUAUAAUGGCAUGCAUGUGUAACAACAGCUUCACUUUAUAAGCUGUUGUUUGGUUGUGCUGCCUAAAUUUAUGAUUCCAUUUAUGAGAAAUAUAGGCUCGUACACUAUGGAAAAAGCAGAACUGUUCCUGAUGCGAAUAAAAUGUGUCGACACUCGGUGUCAGUAAAGGAUAAGUCGCUGCCAACAUCCAAAGUAUCGCGCAAUCUGUUUCCAUUUGCAUCAAUCCAGCCAACAUAUACAUCAGUGUUUGGCAUGAAACGGUCAUCACUGAUGCCAAUCCCAAGCCAUCCUUGUGUCCUAGACUGAAAAACAUUGUUACAGCAAUUUUCAACUGCAUUUCAUAUGUUAAGAUCAUUGCACCUAACACCCCCAUGCCCCCAGUUGACUAGCCAAAGUACUACUAUUGGUAAAACGACAGACAUGAUAUUAACUUUGACUAGUGAAGUUACCUCUUUUAGAACUGUGCAAGCUUCAAUCCCUGAUGCGGGUGUGUGGACAUAUUGGCCGACCUCCUGGCCUUUGGCCCAAAUAAAAUGCAUCGGCUCAAACAGAAUAGAGUGAUCGGUAAAAUGAGUGGCUAAAAUAAAUUCAAAACAGUAUUUAAUAUGAUUUGAUUUUGUGGUGGUAGCACUUCGGUAUUGGCUCUAUUUAUUAACCUUUUGGAGAAUUUAUUUUGACAGUCCUCAUUUCAGUUGUUUGAUCACAAUAGCCACUCACCCACAGCUUUCUUCCUCACAAUGACAGUUGUCCAUCCAUCCACUUGUGAUCCAGCAGCAGCUAUAAUAUCAUCACGCCCACCAUAAACCUUAUCCCUUCUUGGUGUAGAUCUAUCUCUUGUAUAAGAGUCCUCAACUCUCAACCCUAUAAUGAUGUCUGUACAAUCCAUUGGGUGUAAUCUUAGUGUUUGAGAACUUCCACCAAACCCGGAUGGUUCUGGUUCACCAGAUGGUUCCGGUUCACUAGAUGGUUCUGGUUCACCAGAUGGUUCUGGUCCACCAGAUGGUUCUGGUUCAACAGAUGGUUCUGGUCCACCAGAUGGUUC